rnacentral:rRNA from 1 species
GUCUAUGGCCAUGCUACCCUGAACAAGCCCAAUCCCAUCUGAUCUUGGAAGCUAAGCAGGGUUGGGCCUGGUUAGUACUUGGAUGGGAGACCACCUAGGAAGACCAGGUGCUAUAGGUG